ACCUCCGGACUGGGGUUCGCAAGCUUCACGGCGAAUGUACCUCGGGAAGUUGGUUAAACCUCACUAUUUAGAGGAAGGUGAAGUCGUAACAAGGUCUCCGUAGGUGAACCUGCAGAAGGAUC
rnacentral:rRNA from 1 species